UUUGAUCUAUUUCUUAAAUAUUAUGAAAACCUUUCCAAUAAUGGCGAGCGGAUUUCCCAGUUGACGGUUGCUUCCCCAGUUCCAUCCUUGCUCCGAAUCUUGCCUGUUUCAGUAUUGUUUUUUUGAAUCCUGGUCUCAUCUUUGUAUACUGCUACAACAAUGCUAGUACAAUAGACGAACACAAAGAAGAACAAAAUUGACAGGCUGAAUACAGAGGAACAUAGACACAUAAGAAGAAAACGGUAGAGAAGAAAAAAGAUCUCAGUAAAAGACUCCUGGGAAUAUAUUCCUCAUGUCAAUCCGAGAUUUAUACAGACACUGCUUCUGCUUUGUCUAUUUUGGUUGUGUUAGAUCCCUUAAACGGGAAUCCAUAUUAACGGAGAAAACAGAAGACCUUUUUUAAUUGUCAUGUGUGUGUUUUCCUCCUUGCAAGUUUUGAAAUAGCUACUGUCUAUUGAGUGCCCUUUACGAUAAUGUUAAUAGCCAACAGACAUCCAAUGUUUUCAAUGUGCCAGGCCCUGUUCCAUAUACACAACACAUACUGAGUCAUUUAAUCUUCACAACAACUUGUCAGGUGCACCUGUUAUCGUCUCCAUGUCACAGCUGGGAGUACAGAGGCACAGAGGGGCUGAAUCAUUUGCCUCAAGUCUCCCAACUAGCAAGAGGCAGGCCUGGGAUUCAGCUGCAGGCAAUGUGGCCCGAGUCCACAGUCUUCCCCCCUACAAGAAGUGCCUACACUACACUACAAGAUGUGUGUGUUUGGUGUUUACCUGCAUGCUCUCUCCUAAUCAUAGGUGAAUUUCACUGAAGAAAUGGUUACCUUCUGCUUCCCCUAAAUCAAAUCAUGUUUUUUUUUUUAAAUUUAAAAACUUAGGAGAACAUUUUUCCACAUUAUUGUUCCUAAAAUUUGAGGACUUUCUCCUCAUCACUCUCCUUUUCUUCCUUAAUUUACCUGGUGUAAAUGAGCACAGCUCUAGUAAUGUGUGAUGCUAGUUGGCUGGAAGUGGUUGGAGAAUCUGGUCUGGUGUAUCAUGGGUAUUUGUUCAAUGGUAACAAGCAAAACGAUAGGCUUCCCCCACCAUUUAUUGAGUUGUAAACGAAUAGGCUGAUAGAAAUAAAAACUACAGUUUCCCCUUCCUUUGCACCUCUUUACAAGUGUCUAUCAUUUGGGGCUACCAAACUCUAAGAAGCUUUUCCAAUAUUUCUUCCUUUGAUUUGGAAGGUUCAAAGAAACUUUUGAGUUAUUUCUGAGACAGGUAAAGCUUAUCAUCUCCGAUGGGCAAUUCUUUCCUCUGGGACCUUCAUCUUCUUGUGAUCAAGAGAGGCAAUGUAGCCUUGUGAUUAGAAAAUGGCUCCGGAGCUUGACUCUUAGGUCUUGAGUCUUAGCCCCACCACUUUAGAUAAGCUCCUUAACUUUUCUUUACCUCAAUUUUCUCAUCUGUAAAGUGGGAUGAUAAUAGCACCUACUUCACACUUUAGUCAUUUUUUGAUAAACCAAAAAAGUCAACGUUUGUUAAGUAUUCAGAAUGGCACCUAGCAUAUAGUAAGCCCUCCUAAUUAGCACCUCAUUAGGGGCUCUGUGAUUUUAAAUUAAGGCAGCAAAGCUCUGCAAAUAUAACGAGGGGUUUUUACAGUCAACUUAGAAGUUCACAUCUCCUCUCCUUGAAGUUAGUGAUGAGAAGGUUCAAAUCCAUGUUUAGAAUCUAUUACGCUAGUUCCUCAGAAGAUAUUUUCAAAAUAACAAUGGGACAUAGUUUAAGAAAAAAACAAACUACUGGAAAAAACACAAGGUAUAAAAAUGUCCUUGCUGGGAAGUCUGACAGAAAUAACUGUUGAGAAAUCUUCCACUGAGAGCCUUGCAGCAGGAAGGUUUGCUGUCUCUGCACGUCCAGGAUGGAGGCGAGCUCGGUGGGCAGAGACUUCACGGAACUCUGAGAUUCCACCGACAACUAUUUUUUAGAGCAUAGUUUGAAACACUGAAAACUUGUGACUCUUUCAGCAUUGUUCUGUUUAGAAUUACCCUUGCUGAAGUGAAUCAAGUUAUUAUUGGUUUAGUAGCAAGCCAAGCAGGGUGCUGAUUCACUGCUUAAUAAGAAUGUUCCCUGAAUUAUAUUUAGUCAGAAUGGCAUGAAGCCAAGGGGAGCAGUUUCUUUUAUGUGAAGACUUUGAUUUUGCUUUACUUUUUAAAUGGCAUUGCUCCCCACUCCCAGCCCAGGAAGAUCACCUAUUCAUCCUGAAAUAAGAAAAUGAAAGAAUUUGAGGAACUCAUACAAAAAUCAGUGUCAAAUCCAUCUUCUUUACAUAUAAAACAGAUGCUUCUUUUUCAGAGACUGGUUUUACUUCCAACACAUGAUCGUAGCAUCUGAUUUUAUGAGCAAUCUUAUGAAAGGAGUGGGGUUUUUCUAAUAUCAACUGAUGUGAUCAAAGGCAUCUACAAAGCAUGUACAGAGUAGGCUCUAGGUGAAUAGUUUGGUGAACUCACAGUUAGGCCUCAGGGAGUGGGAUCCCGGGGUCUAAAGAGACUGCGGGCACCAUGUGGUACUGAAGGGAGAGCCCAGGCUUGGAUGUCAGACAAAUAUUUAGGUCCAACCCCAGCCCAUUACCUAUAAGCUUAACGAUUAUUGGACGAGUUGUUUAGCUUCUCUGAGCUUCAGAGACCUCGUCUGUAAAAUGGGAAUAAUAGUACCUUCCCUUUAGGGUAAUCCUGAGGAGUGAAUGAAAUCACAGUAUAACUGGGUAAGAGUGUGGGUCCAGAUGGAAUCCAGGGUCCACUACUUAACACCGUGAGAUCUUGGGCAAGUUAUUCAGCCUCUUUGUGCCUCAGAAUCCCAACUAUACUAUAAACUGGGGAUGAGGAUGGUACCUAUCUCAUAAGGACUGAUUAGAAGAGAGAAUCUAUGGUGGUUACUAGAGGCAUGGGGCGGGGUGGGGGGUGCAAAAUGGGUGAAGGUGGUCAAAAGGUAAAGACUUCCAGCUAUCAGGUAAAUAAGUCCUGGGGACGUAUGGACAGCGUGAGGACUACAAUUAACAAUACCGUAUUGGAUAUUUGAAAGUUACUAAGAGAGUAGAUCUUAAAAGUUCUCAUUGCAAGAAAAACAAAUUUGAAACUAUGAUUGGUGAUGCAUGUGGACUAGACUUAUUGUGGUCAUCAUUUUGCAAUAUGUACUAGUACCGAAUCAUUAUGUUGCACACCUGGAACUAAUAGAAUGUUAUAUAUCAGUUAUAGCUCACAAAAGAAAAGGAGAUAAUCUAUUAAAGACACUCGACAUAAUUAAGUAUCCAAAGUUUGUGCUCGGUUAAUGCUAGCUAUUGUUAUAACUUAUGGAAAGGAUUUAACACAGUUCCUGGCAAAUAGUAGAAACUUCAUACAUCAAUCCCCCACCUCCUGCCCUCUUCCUCAGGCCUCACGAGGUGUUUGAGUGGCUACCAUAGCUUCCAUCCCCAUCAUUCGUCCUGACUUGGACUGUGAUGCUUGUCUCAGGGCCUUUGGAUGGUCUUGAAAACAGAUUAUUCCACCAAAUAAAGAAAAUGAAGAUUCCCUGAGUGCUAAAAUGUCUCCUGAAGAACAAAUAAAAAACCACUUUGCUUUUUGAUAUUUACUUCCAAGAAGAAAAAUGUUCUUCCUAAAAUGUGCAUUUCUUUUCAACUUAGAGCUAACUGCCAUCCCUUGGUUUUUGGUUUUUUUCCAUGAACAAACCAGUAAGAGUUAUCAAGGAGCUCAAGAAGUAGGGGCUGUUAAAGCAGGAUUCCUCCAUGUACAUUUGAACGUUAUUAUUAUUUUGAUGAUUAUUAUCAUUAUCAGAUAGAGGAAGGAAGGUAGGCUGGGAAGUAGGUCCUUGUGAUGAUUUUUAUUCGGGACCCUGAAUGUAUAUUUCACCAGUCAUAAAGCACAUAGUUUAGAUAAACAUGUCAAGAAUGAGGUAAACAGAGGUAAACAUGAGGAGCUUUACAUUAGAACCAAAAAAUGAAAAUGUAAGAAAUUCUGUGUAUCAAUAACUAAAAAUUAUUUAAACUACAGGACUCUGUAGAAGCCUAACUUUUCUCUUUAUACUUGAGAUAUACAAUAUUAGCUGGGAAACCUCCGAUCCAAUCAGGAGUCUGAGAAACGUCGGAUAGAAUUUGAUAUUUUUAAAUUAAAUUUCUCUUUAUUCAAUUGCCUCUGAGUAGAAAGAUCUAUGAUUUCCAAGUGCCAAAUGAUAAUUUAGUGUACGAAUGUACAUACCACAGAGAUUAAUUUUUUAAGAAUUUAAGAAACUGGCUGCACCGGAUAACAUCAAGGAAAGGAGAGUUCUGAUGUGGGGCCUCCUCCAAAAGACUGGUUUUUAUUGGUCUGAUGCUCCAUAGGAUGGCCUGUAAUUUUUGUACUUUAUUUUUUAAACUAGAGUGGGAGAAAUGGAGACUGACCUCUUUUAGCAAUUUUGUGGGGCGUUUGGGUCCUGUGGGAAUUUACUAGCUUGCUUUAUGGCCCUCAGCCAACCCUGGUGGGAAGUCUAGAGAAGAAUUCAAUUCUGCUCAUUCCCAGAAUACUUGUUGACAAGCUCAGCAGCACUGAAGUGUUACACGAGUCUCUGUGUCCCCCAGAGUCCAGCGAUAAAGGGACAUGAGACCAGCGAGGGUCAGUGUUUCCGGGAAUAUAAUGUUGGUUCUCAGAAUUUACAUAUUUUUCUCAUGAAACUUUAACAAUUUUUAAAACAAACUCCACCACUCUGAUCUUAGGAGGGAAUGAGCAGGCAGCCCACUGCUUCCCUCUGGAAGUAUUUUAAGCAUUGAGCUUUUCAGAAAACAAUCACUUCUUUUUGAUGACUGUGACUUCAAAUACCCUUCCUGCCAGGCCAGUGGUGACUCAUAAAACAGCCGCUGAUUUCAGGAACUCACCAGUAGAUUAUGGGUGCUUGCAGCUUCUCCGAAUGAUAACUGGAUGAAAUGAUACACAGCGAGGGGCUUUGUGUGAAAGAUUAAAUCCAAACUCAGACACUUACAGCCACGUGUCCUGUGCUCUCAAGAGGGUUUACUGUGAAGGUGCCGCGGAGUCAGUGUCUGAUGGGCUGUCAGCAGCACAGUGACCUUGAAAGUUCUCUAACCGAGUCACUGCAAAUAGGACAACGGGCCCACGACUGUGAGUCUACCCCCUUUAAAUGUAGAUCAUUUGUUUUGCACAUCUCAGAUAUGACUCUUGCGUCCAAGCCGGAAUUUAAGCCGUGUACUAAUACUCAACUGCCCUACCAGCCCAAUUCUUGAGAGGGAACGGUACCAUCUAGAAGAGUUAAGAACCCUGGCUUACUUUAAAGAACUAUUUGUAACACACAUCAGUUUCCUACAGUUAAAACGAGCUGCUUCUUGUGAAGAUUAAAUGAGAUACGUGUUAUCAUUAACAGUCACGCUAGAUAUAUUUUGAAGUACAAACUUUUACAUGCUCCAGAAUGAAAAGCCAAAUGUGUCUUAAAAACAUAUUCCUAAAAACUGAUGCUUUAUACUAUCAACAAACAGUCAAAAUGCAGAAACAGUGUGAUUCUUCCUCUCUCAAAACAAUGUGUUCAUUAUUGAAAUAUUAGAAAUAAAAUGGUAAAUGUUCUAAGAUUAAAGUGGCAACGCUCAGAUUCCCCAUCUUACCAGUUCUGUGUUCAGUCUGCCCGUCUAUAAAACUGGGAGGAAUAUGCUUUACCUACGUUUACCUUUCCUCCUACAAGAUCUAGUGCUGUGCAGACUCGCUAUGGGACAACAUUCCGGGAAGAGAGGUCUGAGAUAUUAUUAAGGCAAAACUCGUGAAAAGAAAUUUGCAUAAGGUCCUGCAGUCAGUCAGUGACUGCGAUUACAUUUUAUUUUGCAGUCCAGUGCCUGUAAACCAUGCAGUGGCUUCCUUGGGAUAACGUAUAGAAGGCACCUAAUGUAUAUAAGGCAUACGCACUUAGAAGAUGAUUGUUGCUAUUGUGUUGAUGAUGAAAACUUGACUUCAUAGGUGCUCUGCCUAGAAAUCAAGCUGACAAAGGACAAGGGAAAAGGCAAGGUGCUAAAAACUAAACAAAAACUGCCUCCUCGCGCCCCACAACCAGCCAACCCGCCAAUCAAACAUCUGCAACCACCAGAGAGCAAACAACACCCAGAGGGCAAAGGAUGCCUAGUGGGAAGGAAGCUGAGGUCAUGAAUUCCAAAUUUCCCACCUGCCACGCUGACAUCAUUUCCAUAAUUCCAACCUGCAACAUGGUACACGCAGCUUAUUCUGCGUGUGUUUCCAGGGGGCUCCCUGGUUAGGGAGAAGGGGCAAAAGAACUGCCUCUUACUCCAGGGAGCUGGCUUAGUCCUACUCCUUCCCACUCCCCCAUCCCUCAGGGUGAGGUUACACUCUGUUGUGGGUAUAGUCUUGGAGGAUUCCCACCCCUCUCCCGUAAUGUGGGACGGUUUGAGAUGAGACCUAUACUCCAGUUCCCAGUUCAAGUUGUGAAUGCUUAGACUGCAUGCCUGGCUUGUUUCUUAGAAGCUUUUGGGGAACCCAUGACAGUCACAUUCGUGUUAGUUUCGUCUUUAGUCAUGAACUACAAACAGCGGCUCUGCUAAGAUCGCCACCUGUCCAACAGGAAACAGACCGAAAACACUCCUCAUUCCUACAUACCACGGACCACCGGACAACUGGGGAUACUUGUGGGUCAUUACCAUCCUAGGCUACUUUUGAACCAAUGAUCUCAAACUGACUACCUUGUGUUCUAUUAUCUUUCCUCUAAUUCAUGCCGUUCUUUAAAUGCUCUGUUAAGAAUGCAAAGUUAUAAAAUGAUCUCCUUUCCUGCUUCACCUUAAGAAGCCUUUUUUGAUUGUUCAAUUAGAAAAGAAUGCAAAAUGCACAGCAUUCGACAGACUUCCUUUGCAGAGAAUAAGUAACACCAAACAAUAGUAUUAUACAAUGGCUAGAUUGCUUUUUCCUUUAUCCCGUAUUAAUCUUCCUAAUUGAUUUCCCAAAAAGGCAAAUAAGAGAGCGGGCUACAUCCUGUGGUUGUAACUUCUGGGGAAACUGCCACCAAAGGCAAUGGAAGAUUUUCCAGAGAAAAAGCAGAAGAAUUGGUCCUAUUGUUCUGUAGCUGACUUAAUUUUCCUCUGUGUGUGAUGUCUUAGAAAUACCUACGGCUUGUGGUUUUAAAUGUAUGGAGAAAUGGAUAUGCUCACAAAAAGGAAAUUCAGAUGCUUUAGGAGUGAUAUAAAAGAAAUAUCAGAGAAACGACUCAGGUCAGAAUAGCUCAUAGAGGGAACUUUUUUUUUUUUAAAUACAUACAUUGAACAGAUAAAGAAGAAAGUAAUAUUUUAAUUGGAUAGUGAAAAAUAUAGCAGAUUGACAGUGACAGCAGAAAAAGAACAGGAAUACAGAUAUUUUCAGAGAAUUAAAAUGGUACCAUGUACUCUCAAACCAGGCUAGUUUUUACGAGAGGUCUCUAAACGUAUCGAGUAGAUGGUUUUCCUUGGAGCUGUCAAAAAUGCUUUGUGGUUCUCUACAUUAAUUCACGUUGAAUAUUUUCCAUGGUUGGUCAGACUCGGAUUUAAAAUAGAUAUGAGAAAGGUCUUCAGGUUUACUGUCAGUAACAUUAUUAACUUCAUAGCCAGCUGGAUGACGGCAUGGUGUGUGACCAGUCCAAAUUUACAAGGUAACCUUGCCUGAAUCCUCCUGGUCCAUCAAAUAUAAAUAAUAAAGUGAAGGUGCGAGAAUAGAAUUGCAAAGAACAGUGGGAGAAGCAGUUGUCAGGAAGCAAAACAAACACAAGAAAAAAAAUCUGUGAGGUCACUCAGAAAUGAUGCUAAUGAUUGUGUGUUCUCACCCUACGGCCUCCAUAUACAUGGGGUUCCUCGUGCUUCACAAUCAGCCCCUGUAGUCAGUAACCCUUCACACCCCAGUCGUGGUUUCCCAAGGAAAAA